AGCGAACGCUGGCGGCAGGCCUAACACAUGCAAGUCGAACGGACCUUUCGGGGUUAGUGGCGGACGGGUGAGUAACACGUGGGAACGUGCCUUUAGGUUCGGAAUAGCUCCUGGAAACGGGUGGUAAUGCCGAAUGUGCCCUUCGGGGAAAGAUUUAUCGCCUUUAGAGCGGCCCGCGUCUGAUUAGCUUGUUGGUGAGG
rnacentral:rRNA from 1 species